rnacentral:lncRNA from 1 species
GUGGCACAUGUAUGAAGUAUUAAAUGUAGAUAAAAAUAAAAAUUAAUUACACAGUUUGUCUGUAAAUCGCGAAACGAAUCUUUUAAGCCUAGUUACUUCAUGAUUGGACAAUGUUUGUCAAAUAAAAACGAAAGUGCUACAGUGUCAAAAUCCAAAAAGUUUUUGGAUCUAAACAAGCCCUAAGACUCCAAGUCUUCUUUAGACUCGAAAUCCACAUUGUUCGAGGUAAUAAAUAACUUUAGACUUCAUGAUAGAGUCUGCAUUGUGAGUGCCCUUAUCGCACAUCGCCCGGUUAGUUUGAAUGAGGUUUUAUUAAAGUUUUAUAAACAUUAAAUAUGCUAAUGUAGUAUCGUAUUCAUGGAGCUGAUAAGAAUUUUUUAGGGAAUAGAGAUAAUUUUAUAGGUAUGAAACUGUUCUGCAUUAUUUCUAGUAGCUCUCCCAUGUCCCAUGUGUGUCUGGAGACGGCGCGCCGGAUGGAGAAACGCGGAUGCGACUGGGCACCUGUCCGGUGUAUGCAAUCCUUGCAAUUUCCCUCUUUUAUCCAUGCUCAUAUUAAAUAGGCCUCAAUUAUGACUCUGCUUGAGUGGUGACUAGUUUUUUUCCCUUCAGCUCAAGGAGAAAAUUCAUUGAUGUAGCUCAAGUAAGUUGUCUUAUUUGAUAAAACAUUUUUCAUGGUAUUAAAAUCAUAGAAAUGAUAAAAUGUCCAUAAUAUUUUUAUUUUUAUUUUUAUUUUUAUUUUUAUUUUUCUCCCAUAUUUAAUUUUUCAUGGUUUGUUUGUUCUUGUUAUUCCCAUAGGUUAUUUUAUCUCCAGAUUUCAACGCCUCCUCGCCUUGGUCCCUUCUUCUCCAUCUCCGACCUUGCCUUGGUGUCACAUUGCCCACGUGCCUCAAACCCGCCACCGCGGCACGACUGCACAUGCAUGGAGGAGGGCAUGCAGGGCCUGCCAUGGUGAUUCGGGCGGGCACGACCAUGACAAGGGGCAUCCGUGGCUGCAACACGAAGAAGGCCCUGUUGGACUUUGAGCAGCCAAACUAGGGCAAAGCAUGGUUCGUGUGCCUCGAAGCAGCCAGGUGAGAAGGGACGAUGGGCAGUGACGGAGCUAGAGCAAAUCUAAAGGGGAUGCACUUGUCUUUGUGGGUGCAAGACUUUGUGAUAUUUAGAUGCAAAUAUGAUGAAAAUUUAGCACUUACUACUGAUUUUUUAUUUUUCUCUAGGUGCGGCCGUACCUAAUCUUUUGACUAUGGAUCCGCCCAUGAUCAUGAGUAGUUCGGGAAGGGCCCACUUGCUUGGACAGAAGAGUGAGGGGGCGACUAUUUUCAACUCAUGCUCUCUCUUGUGACUUCUCUCAAUGCAUUCUCCGGCAAUUCCUCAAAGAAGCAGAGCAAGAGCAAUGAGUUUCGCAUUAGGUUGCUGCUCACGCGGAGACAUUCAUAGAGUGCUACCAAACACCCUCUAUAUAUGCAAGCAGAAAUAGAUUGCCGAGUUACAUCUAGAGCAGAAUUGCAAGCCACAAGAGCCAGGGUUGGCAAGAAGCCAAUAACUCAUGAUUGAUUCAAGUGAGUCGACCUAGAAGUCUAGAACAGAGAAACAUAGCAAGGCGAGCACUUUCGUUUUAAAAUAAUUUCAUUUGAUAUGUCUAUCGGAUAGCCACGUUAGGCCU